rnacentral:rRNA from 1 species
GAUGAACGCUGGCGGCGUGCCUAAUACAUGCAAGUCGAGCGACUGGAUUAAGAGCUUGCUCUUAUGAAGUUAGCGGCGGACGGGUGAGUAACACGUGGGUAACCUGCCCAUAAGACUGGGAUAACUCCGGGAAACCGGGGCUAAUACCGGAUAACAUUUUGAACCGCAUGGUUCGAAAUUGAAAGGCGGCUUCGGCUGUCACUUAUGGAUGGACCCGCGUCGCAUUAGCUAGUUGGUGAGGUAACGGCUCACCAAGGCAACGAUGCGUAGCCGACCUGAGAGGGUGAUCGGCCACACUGGGACUGAGACACGGCCCAGACUCCUACGGGAGGCAGCAGUAGGGAAUCUUCCGCAAUGGACGAAAGUCUGACGGAGCAACGCCGCGUGAGUGAUGAAGGCUUUCGGGUCGUAAAACUCUGUUGUUAGGGAAGAACAGGUGCUAGUUGAAUAAGCUGGCACCUUGACGGUACCUAACCAGAAAGCCACGGCUAACUACGUGCCAGCCGCCGCGGUAA